GACGAACGCUGGCGGCGUGCUUAACACAUGCAAGUCGAGCGGAAAGGCCCUGCUUUUGUGGGGUGCUCGAGUGGCGAACGGGUGAGUAACACGUGAGUAACCUGCCCUUGACUUUGGGAUAACUUCAGGAAACUGGGGCUAAUACCGGAUAGGAGCUCCUGCUUCAUGGUGGGGGUUGGAAAGUUUCGGCGGUUGGGGAUGGACUCGCGGCUUAUCAGCUUGUUGGUGGGGUAGUGGCUUACCAAGGCUUUGACGGGUAGCCGGCCUGAGAGGGUGACCGGCCACAUUGGGACUGAGAUACGGCCCAGACUCCUACGGGAGGCAGCAGUGGGGAAUAUUGCACAAUGGGCGGAAGCCUGAUGCAGCAACGCCGCGUGCGGGAUGACGGCCUUCGGGUUGUAAACCGCUUUCGCCUGUGACGAAGCGUGAGUGACGGUAAUGGGUAAAGAAGCACCGGCUAACUACGUG
rnacentral:rRNA from 1 species